rnacentral:lncRNA from 1 species
CCAUAGGAGUUGUGCCUUUAGGAGUUUUAAGAAGUUAUUUAGGAGUUUUAAGAAGUUAUUUAAGAAGUGACCUCCAGGUCACAAAGAUAUUCUUCUAUGUUGUUUUCUAAUAACUCACAGAGAGGACAGGAGCAUGAGGCUCAGGUUCCUCCCAACAGAAGCCCCACGCUUUAGGAAUUGCAGAUGGACAUGGAGGAUAAAGAGUUUUGUUUUUUCUCCUUCAGAGGACCUCAUAAGCCAAGGGGAAGGCAACUAGGCAGAGAGGGCUUUAAUUAAAUUUUCUAUUUUUUAAUUUUUCUGAACUUCAGGGGUGCUCAUACUUCGCAUGAUGGAGGGAAUAGUUAAUGAGUGCAGGUUUCCCCCAGGAGGGCUGCCACCACAACGGCUUGAGAUGAGGCGGCCAGCAGCCCCCAUCUCUACUCCAGUCUGAUAAGCUGUGGUGUCAGGCACAGAGGCACCUGUGAAGUUGGAAGACAGUGGAAAGGAAGAAGGUGACAGCCUGUGCUGUCAUGAUAAUGUCAUGGUAUGGAGGGCCCUGGCCUCCGUCGUAGGGGGCCCAUGUGAAGGGUUGGCCUCCAUGGCCUGUGAGCAGGAGCCUGGCUCAGGGAACCUGGGGCCUCUAUUCUUGGCUGGGCUUUGCUUCCUGGGGCCAUCCCUUGAACACAUCACUCCUACAUGAUGAUGAAUUCUAGAAAAUUAAAGCAGGGCAGGGGGAGUUUGAAUGUCACCCUUUUUCUUACUGAUGAGGAAACAGACCCAGAAUGAGGAAGCAGCUUACGGAAAAUUGCAUGGUUUGUGGGCUGGAGACCCAGGGCCAGGGCUCCAGCUGCUUCACCUGGAAAAAUCCUGGACUUUGGAGACAGACAGUCCUGGGUUUGAACCUAGCUCUAAGAGCCAUUUAUUAAAUAAUUUCACAAAUAAAGGUGAUGUUUGCCACCAUGGUCAGUGCUUUAAGUGAAUCUACUCAGAGCUGUGAAAUCUUGGGGGAAUUUGACCCAGUCACAGUUGAGAGAAGGUUCUGGAAGGAUAUGGGCUAAGGUCUACAGAUGAAUAAAAGUUAAGCUGGUAGAGAGGGAAGAGCUUGUAGGAUGGACAGAGGGAUGGUUGGAUGAGUGACAUGAGCCUGAGUUUAAGAGGUUGACUAUUUCUUCACCCUGUCCUCUCUCUUAGCCUGUGAAGGCUUGCUGGUAAAUUGCUAAAUCUGGCAGAGAAUGAGGAAAGGAAGAUCUCUUUCCCUGGCUAUCAAUUGUUUGAGUGUUUCACUUAAAGUUGAGCACCUGUUCUAUUGAAGUGCCCACCUCUGUUCCUCUCCAUUUCUUUGAACCCUAUCACUGGUCCUUGGGAAGGGUAAAUGCAAAAGAAAAAAAAAGUGAAAGCAGUGUUAAUCAUGCUGAAAUGUAAUGCGCCCCUCUGAACCUUGGAAGAUGAGAAAUUAUACAUGCUGAUUUCAUCCGCUACUUAACUCAGGGGGUGACAGGCUGCAAUUGAAGAGGCUUUGGCAGGUUAAGUGCUGCAAACCCUUGCCCAGGCUCUUAAGCAUCUCUCGGAAACCUCUGAGACUCGUUGGUAAUUUGGUGGUGUCAUUUGGAGUGACUCCUGGCCCUGCCAGCUGCAGGGACAGUUCCCAGUUAAAAAAAAAAUGAUUUCAUUCUCAGCUAGGAUGUGGUCUGUUCUUUUUUUGUCUGGGGACCGGAGACUGUUAAGGGAAAAGAGAGUGGGGAGGAGAUUCUGCAAAGAAAUAAAAGCAGACAAGAAUGGGCUUGUGUACAUUGCAACCACCAAAGCCCCCUCAACAAAGCUUCAUCAUUACUGGAAUCAGGAAAGAAAAGGGAGAAAACUAACAUUUAUUUGACAUUUACUGUGUACCAAGUACCUGUCAUUCCUGAACGUAUUGACUCCACACAUCUCCGCGAGACAGCUGUUGUUAUGUGGAGAAAUUAGGCUAAUUAAUUUGCCCACUACGAUGAUGACAACAAUGAUGACGAUGGUGAUAAAAGCUUAUAUUUAUAUGGCAGAGACUAUUAUAAACUCCUUAUCUGCAUUAUUCACUCCUCACAAUAACCCUGUGGGGUAGGUGCUGUUAUGAUCCACAUUCUUCAGAUGAGGAAAAUCAGGCCUAGAAAGAUAAAAUAACUUGCCCCUUAGCUGGUAAAUGGCAGGACUGGGGUUCAAAUGUAGGCAGAUUGCCUGCAGAACCUGUGCUUUUAACCACUAGGAUGGAAGUUGGAAAGCAAGACUGACAUAGUCUAAACAUCCUUGCCCUUUCAGCCACACCUGGCUGUCCCAUCUCAUACUGAUAUAAAUAGUAUUACAGCUUGGCAAAUGCCAUAGUAAAGUUUAUUCCAAGGGCCUUUAGGAGCCCAACCAGCCUGGGUCUUCCUCAAGAAGGUGACACAAAGAGGGCAUUCCUGAGAAGAGUCUUGGAGAAGGACUGGAAGGCUCUGCACCUCCGCUAAUGCUGCCCUGAGUCAUCGGUGGAAACCUUUUCACAGCAUCAGAGCUGGGGAUAAAACAGUUGUGGGGAGGUCUCGUGGAAAGAAUACAACCUAUAAAAUGGCCACAGAGUGCCUGUUUUGCAGACUGUUUUAAGGAUUAGACAGUGCCAGGAGUUGGAAAACAAUUUUCUAUUUAUACUUUGCUAAAUCCUUGUAAUUACAUAUAUUUUCCUGAAAGUCUGAGUGGCAAUCACAUAUUUAUCCUCGCAAUCAAAGCCAUUGUGGAUUAUCAGACAGUAUCUCCUCAAUGAUGUAACUUAGGUAAAAUAAGGGUCACCCAAAGCAUUUUUCCAUCUCGAUCAGCAAAGUAACCAUUCAUCUCUGGGAAUAUGAUGGCAUUCAGAAGGUGACAGCCAACAGCUCCAAGUGAAAACAUCAAAGUAAUUGAACAUUAAGUUGAAGGACCAGACCCAGAAAAAAUUCUUUCAGCUUAUGUGUCACUUGCAACCAAGCCAACAAAGUCACGGUCAUUUCACUGAAACAAUAAAGGAAGGAAAUCCCAAAGUGCUUCUAAGUAGCAAAGAUUGGUGUAUGAGAUGAAAUGUAUAGGAUAUACUACAUAAAAAUUAGAUGGAUAAAAUAGAUUUUUUCCUAAGUAUGUGCAAUCUAUUAUUUUUAGUAUCAUUUAGUAAAACAACAUGAAGACAUUUUAUUAGUUUAUUCAUAACUUUGGUCCCCCAGCUCAAUCUUUUCCAAAAGAAUUACUAUGAUAAUUAUAUCAUAUGAAAAUCUGCACUGGCCAGACUCUGUGCUGGACACUUUACACACAUUGUCUCAUGUAACCCUCACAUUGCCUCUGGGAGAUAAGUGUUUCAUCCCCAUUUAUCAGAUGAGGAAACAUGAGUUUCAGAGACAGCGGAUAGUCACAACAGACUGCACCGAUACCACACAGCUGGGAAGUGGCACAGCCACAAGUCAAACUCAGGUUAGUCAAAUUCCAUAGUUAUUACAUCGCAGGUUAUUUUCUGAUAAUGUAAUACCUUUCCCAGUUCCACAUUUUUUUACAUUCCGGUUGGGAGAAAACCUCCCAAGGAUGAGUUCUAAACUUAAAUGCCUGUAGGAAUUGGGCAGAUGGAGCAAGUGGGCUGGAUGGGAAUGGAGAACACACAGCAAUUGCCCUAAAAGGGGCAGCUGCCGCUGAACUGCAGCACCCUGUGGUCAGAAAGGAAGCAUUUUCCAAGGAAACGUCGGUGAAAUCUUUUUUUUCUAUUUGGGUUUUCUUCAAAAAGAAGAAUUCUGACAACCUAAUUUAAGAGACUUCCUAGGUGUGGAACUCAGUGAUGGAUCCUCAUCUCUUAGCAACCUCACAUAGGAGCUGCUCACCAGGCUCGGCCUUUGGGUUUCUAGCCCCAAAGUGAACUGAGUCAAUCUCCAGAGUAGACUCAACUUCCAUGUUGGUCUUGAGUCAAAGCCCAUUUGGAUGCCCUGAGCAGACAUUACUCUCAGCUGGAUGGCAGCAUUCUCCUCCACAGUUGAGGAAACUGAGGCUCCGUGAGUGUGACUUGUCCAAGGUUCAGCUGGGACUUUGAACCUAGGUCCAGCCAAAGACUUCAGGCCUUUUGGCCUCAGGAAUAUCAAGCGACUGGCUCAAGGUCACCC